AAGCUGAUAACAGAAAUUUAUUUGGUCUCUGCUGCAGGUGAGCCACUGAGUCCUCAGACAGCAUCCUCCCCUCCAGCAUGUGAUGAAGAGCAAUGCCUGGUGCUGCCCGGCGCCGGCAGAACAGCAGCUCUGGGAACGCCUGUCCUGCCAGCACAGCACUGGGGAGAAGAGGACGCACCUCCUGCUCAGAGGGAGGGAUGUCAGUGUGUGCACAUGGCCCAGCUCCCAGCCUGUUCUCCUGGCUGGGAGGGGCGUUCCCAUGAGAUAAGCCUGGGGCAGCAGAGGAGUUACUCUUCUCCCAUAACCUCAGCAUCGAUGACGCCCGCCUGACCCAGGAUGAGAAAGGAAGAACUGGACAGGAGAGGAGAGCACAGCUGACACUGCCAGUCUGAAGUGAUGUGUGGGAGUCUGACUGGGCCAGCAGAGGACAGAUAGGGAGCAUGGGGACAUAGUUAACACAAAAAUGUCUGUUAGUUAGUAGUGUUAUUGUCGAAAAGCUCUGUAAAUAAAUUAUUUGAUAUCAUUCA